GAUGAACGCUGGCGGCGUGCCUAAUACAUGCAAGUCGAGCGAACGGACGAGAAGCUUGCUUCUCUGAUGUUAGCGGCGGACGGGUGAGUAACACGUGGAUAACCUACCUAUAAGAUUGGGAUAACUUCGGGAAACCGGAGCUAAUACCGGAUAAUAUUUUGAACCGCAUGGUUCAAAAGUGAAAGACGGUCUUGCUGUCACUUAUAGAUGGAUCCGCGCUGCAUUAGCUAGUUGGUAAGGUAACGGCUUACCAAGGCAACGAUGCAUAGCCGACCUGAGAGGGUGAUCGGCCACACUGGAACUGAGACACGGUCCAGACUCCUACGGGAGGCAGCAGUAGGGAAUCUUCCGCAAUGGGCGAAAGCCUGACGGAGCAACGCCGCGUGAGUGAUGAAGGUCUUCGGAUCGUAAAACUCUGUUAUUAGGGAAGAACAUAUGUGUAAGUAACUGUGCACAUCUUGACGGUACCUAAUCAGAAAGCCACGGCUAACUACGUG
rnacentral:rRNA from 1 species